AUUGAACGCUGGCGGCAUGCUUUACGCAUGCAAGUCGAACGGCAGCGCGGGCUUCGGCCUGGCGGCGAGUGGCGAACGGGUGAGUAAUACAUCGGAACGUGCCCAGUAGUGGGGGAUAGCUCGGCGAAAGCCGGAUUAAUACCGCAUACGACCUGAGGGUGAAAGCGGGGGAUCUUCGGACCUCGCGCUAUUGGAGCGGCCGAUGGCAGAUUAGCUAGUUGGUGGGGUAAAGGCCUACCAAGGCGACGAUCUGUAGCUGGUCUGAGAGGACGACCAGCCACACUGGGACUGAGACACGGCCCAGACUCCUACGGGAGGCAGCAGUGGGGAAUUUUGGACAAUGGGCGAAAGCCUGAUCCAGCAAUGCCGCGUGUGUGAUGAAGGCCUUCGGGUUGUAAGCACUUUUGGCGGGAACGAAAAGGACUGUGCCAAUACCACGGUUCGAUGACGGUACCCGCAGAAUAAGCACCGGCUAACUACGUG
rnacentral:rRNA from 1 species